GAUGAACGCUAGCUACAGGCUUAACACAUGCAAGUCGAGGGGAAACGGCAUCGAAAGCUUGCUUUUGAUGGGCGUCGACCGGCGCACGGGUGAGUAACGCGUAUCCAACCUGCCCAUCACUUGGGAAUAACCUUGCGAAAGUAAGACUAAUGCCCAAUGACAUCCCACGAAGGCAUCCGAAUGGGAUUAAAGAUUUAUCGGUGAUGGAUGGGGAUGCGUCUGAUUAGCUUGUUGGCGGGGUGACGGCCCACCAAGGCAACGAUCAGUAGGGGUUCUGAGAGGAAGGUCCCCCACAUUGGAACUAAGACACGAUCCAAACACCUACGGGAGGCAGCAGUGAGGAAUAUUGGUCAAUGGGCGAGAGUCUGAACCAGCCAAGUAGCGUGCAGGAUGACGGCCAUAUGGGUUAUAAACUGCUUUUAUAAGGGAAUAAAGUGGGUCACGUGUGACUUUUUGCAUUUACCUGAUGAAUAAGGACCGGCUAAUUCCGUG
rnacentral:rRNA from 1 species